GGGGUAACAGAGGGUGCUUGCACCCUGCUGACGACCGGCGCACGGGUGCGUAACGCGUAUGCAACCUACCUUCUACAGGGGGAUAGCCCAGAGAAAUUUGGAAUAAUACCCCAUACGAUCUUUACUUGGCAUCGAGUAAAGAAGAAAACUUUUGUGGUAGAAGAUGGGCAUGCGUCCUAUUAGUUAGUUGGUGAGGUAACGGCUCACCAAGACAUCGAUAGGUAGGGGCCCUGAGAGGGGGAUCCCCCACACUGGUACUGAGACACGGACCAGACUCCUACGGGAGGCAGCAGUGAGGAAUAUUGGACAAUGGGGGCAACCCUGAUCCAGCCAUGCCGCGUGCAGGAAGACUGCCCUAUGGGUUGUAAACUGCUUUUAUACAGGAAGAAACUGCGCUACGUGUAGCGUACUGACGGU
rnacentral:rRNA from 1 species